GGCUCCAAACAACUUAUUAAGCAGAAACAAUUUAUGGGAAAACAAAAGUUUUAUCAUCUUUCCCAAGGCCACAGCUGCACUCUGAGUUAUGAAAAGCCAGUUGCUCCCUACAUGGGUGUAUGUCAUUCCACAUGCUAAGCUAAAGAGCUACAAGAUCAGGGAAAUCCUUACAAUAGGCUACUUAAAACAAUAACCCUAUUUAACUGGGUAAUCAGCCUUCUCAUUUCCAGCCGGCGGCCAGCUAAAUUGCUGUCUACUUUUCCGGAUGAGUUUUUACAGUGCUAUGUUCCAUUUUUUUAUUUUCUUCCAGUAAAAUAGUGGCAAUUUCCACAAUUCAUUAUGUAUGUAAGUCGAGUAAAACAUUUGUUCUCUGAGGGCAUUUCGUUUCUGGGCUUAUGUUUCCAUGGACACCAUGAAUCGCGAUGGACCAAUCUAUUUCGAGCUUACAAGCGAUGUUGGUGAUGAAGUCUGAACGAUAAAGCGGUUAUCAAAUCAAUCAUCGAUUUACACUUUUUUACCCCCAAGAAAACACAGGACAGUGGAGUUCCACUAUAAUGCUGAAUGUUGCCCUGGUGAUGUGAAAGGACUCUAACCACUGCAGAUCUGUGAAAGAGUGAUGCAGCACAACCUAUCCCCACCAGCAAGAUGGGCGAUUGAAACUUUGAAUGCAGACUGUAACCUUUUAACACCUGUCUAUACCAGUAAAUGAAGGGGAUCUGCUCUUGUGUGCAGUGCAAUAUUUGGAGGACCAUGUCCAAUCACCACUCACGCCGAAAUGAUUUCCAAAGACAUUUUUUUAAUUAAAAUGUAAUUGAUUCUUAAAGACUGCAUAAUUAUUGAUGAACAUACUCUGAAAGGGAGCACAGUCCAGAUGGUAACCUUUGUAAUACAAUGGAAAAAAUAUAUGAGCUUCUGUAGAGCAGUUGGAAAUGUACUUUAAUACCGCUAAUAGCAUUAUCUAUAAUUUAGUUCUGUUGUGAAGAAAAAUAUUUCAAACUCAUGCUGCAAAUGGCAAUGUCUUCAUGGAAACCCGUUCAUACAACAUACCUAAAUCAAUCCUUUUUAAAACUUAUUUACUAGCUUAGAUGCUAGCUGUAGCUUACAACUGUACAUCCAUGGGACACGGUAAACCCAAUAUUCUCUUUAAAACCAUUUAAAUCCUGCAUCCAGCCGCUGAUAAAUCCAUCUUCCGUUCAUCCUCCUCUCUCACCUCUUUCUUUCAGAACAAAAUUGACACCAUCUAUUCUACGCUCUCCUGCCCCACACCCAGUAUAGUACUCGACCACCUUGACUCCCCUCCGUUUGCCCCUCCUGCUCUCUCCUUCUCUCCUCUCUCCAUUACUGAUAUCUCCAGCAUAUUGCUGAAAUCAACUACUGCCACGUGCCCCUUGGACCCCUGGCCGACAAAUCUUGUCCGUUUCUGUGCCUCUGAUCUUGCUCCGUCCAUUAUGCUCACUUUCAACCUAUCCCUGGUCUCAGGCUUGGUUCCUGCUGCCCUCAAGAUUGCCUGAGUAACAGCGGUGCUCAAAAAACCCUCCCUCGACUGUAAUUUCCGUCCUAUAUCCAAUCUUCCUUUUCUCUCCAAAACUCUUGAAAGGGUUGUAGCCAGCCAGCUGAUGAAACAUCUCACAGAUAACAAUCUGCUUGAAUCUCUGCAGUCUGGCUUCUGGUCUCAUCACAGUUCUGAAACUGCUCUGCUCUGGAUUGUAAAUGAUCUCCUGCUCAAUGCUGAUGCUGGUGCUCCCGCUGUCCUUGUCCUCCUUGACCUAACUACUGCUUUUGACACCAUAGAGCAUAGCAUUCUUCUUGACCCCCUUCAGAAGUAUACUGGGAUCUCUGGAACCUGUCUCUUCUGGCUGU